rnacentral:rRNA from 1 species
GGGGGCACGGGGGGCCUACGGGAGGCAGCAGUAGGGAAUAUUGGUCAAAGGCCGAGAGUCUGAACCAGCCAUGCCGCGUGCAGGAAGACGGCUUUUAAGGUUGUAAAAUUCUUUUGACAGGGAAGAAAAGGUCUGCCGUGUAGGAUAACUGACGGUACCAGUAGAAUAAGCACCGGCUAACUCCGUGCCAGCAGCCGCGGUAAUACGGAGGGUGCAAGCGUUGUCCGGAUUUAUUGGGUUUAAAGGGUGCGUAGGCGGCGCAUUAAGUCAGUGGUGAAAUCCUGCAGCUUAACUGUAGAACUGCCAUUGAUACUGAUGUGCUUGAGUGUAGUUGAGGCAGGCGGAAUUUAUGGUGUAGCGGUGAAAUGCAUAGAUACCAUAAAGAACACCGAUAGCGAAGGCAGCUUGCUUAACGAUAACUGACGCUGAUGCACGAAAGCGUGGGUAGCGAACAGGAUUAGAUACCCUGGUAGUCC